rnacentral:lncRNA from 1 species
CCAGGUGCUCCGCAGGGCGCAGCUUUAUACGACCACACAGGUCGAACCCUGAGCAGUUGGGGCAAGUAUGUACACAACAUUCAAGCUUGAUACAGCUCUGUAUUUGGAUUGUGAUCAAAUUUUUGACAUAAUAUGAGUUUCUAACACAAAAUAAAUGUCAAGAUCUUACAAAUCUAUUGUGCAAUAUUGUGCAAUUUAAGAUUUCUUCUUCAAACAUUUCCAAAAUU